UCUGUGCCGGAGUUAACGCAAUAAGCACCCCGCCUGGGGAGUACGACCGCAAGGUUGAAACUCAAAGGAAUUGACGGGGGCCCGCACAAGCGGUGGAGUAUGUGGUUUAAUUCGACGCAACGCGAAGAACCUUACCAGGUCCUGACAUUGAUGGACAGAACUAGAGAUAGUUCCUCUUCUUCGGAAGCCAGAAAACAGGUGGUGCACGGUUGUCGCCAGCUCGUGUCGUGAGAUGUUGGGUUAAGUCCCGCAACGAGCGCAACCCCUAUCUUAUGUUGCCAGCACGUAAUGGUGGGAACUCAUGAGAGACUGCCGCAGACAAUGCGGAGGAAGGCGGGGAUGACGUCAAAUCAUCAUGGCCCUUAUGACCUGGGCUACACACGUACUACAAUGGGAGUUAAUAGACGGAAGCGAGAUCGCGAGAUGGAGCAAACCCGAGAAACACUCUCUCAGUUCGGAUCGUAGGCUGCAACUCGCCUACGUGAAGUCGGAAUCGCUAGUAAUCGCGGGUCAGCAUACUGCGGUGAAUACGUUCCCGGGCCUUGUACACACCGCCCGUCACACCACGAAAGUCGGAAGUGCCCAAAGCCGGUGGGNUAACCUUCGGGAGCCAGCCNU
rnacentral:rRNA from 1 species